rnacentral:rRNA from 1 species
UACCAACAAUCGUACCCCAAACCGACACAGGUGGUCAGGUAGAGAAUACUCAGGCGCUUGAGAGAACUCGGGUGAAGGAACUAGGCAAAAUGGUGCCGUAACUUCGGGAGAAGGCACGCUGGCGGUAGGUAAAGUCCCUCGCGGACGGCGCUGAAGCCAGUCGAAGAUACCAGCUGGCUGCAACUGUUUAUUAAAAACACAGCACUGUGCAAACACGAAAGUGGACGUAUACGGUGUGACGCCUGCCCGGUGCUGGAAGGUUAAUUGAUGGGGUUAGCGCAAGCGAAGCUCCUGAUCGAAGCCCCAGUAAACGGCGGCCGUAACUAUAACGGUCCUAAGGUAGCGAAAUUCCUUGUCGGGUAAGUUCCGACCUGCACGAAUGGCGUAAUGAUGGCCAGGCUGUCUCCAC